rnacentral:rRNA from 1 species
CAGUCGCCGCGGGAAAACGGAGGGGGCUAGCGUUGUUCGGAAUUACUGGGCGUAAAGCGCACGUAGGCGGCUUGGUAAGUUAGAGGUGAAAGCCCGGAGCUCAACUCCGGAAUUGCCUUUAAGACUGCCGAGCUAGCAGGUGAGAGAGGUAAGUGGAAUUCCGAGUGUAGAGGUGAAAUUCGUAGAUAUUCGGAAGAACACCAGUGGCGAAGGCGGCUUACUGGCUCAUACUGGACGCUGAGGUGCGAAAGCGUGGGGAGCAAACAGGAUUAGAUACCCGAGUAGUCCCUGUCUCUUAUAC